rnacentral:tRNA from 1 species
GCCCCAGUGGCGCAAUGGAUAGCGCGUCGGACUUCUAAUCCGGAGGUUGAGGGUUUCGAGUCCUUCCUGGGGUA